rnacentral:rRNA from 1 species
UACGUAGGGUGCUAGCGUUGUUCGGAAUCAUUGGGCGUAAAGCGCGUGUAGGCGGUCAAAUAAGUCUGGUGUGAAAGCCCUGGGCUCAACCGAGGAAGUGCAUCAGAAACUAUUUGACUAGAAGACGGUAGAGGAAGGUGAAAUUCCAAGUGUAGAGGUGAAAUUCGUAGAUAUUUGGAGGAAUACCGGCGGCGAAGGCGGCCUUCUGGGCCGAUCUUGACGCUGAGACGCGAAAGCGUGGGGAGCAAACAGG